rnacentral:lncRNA from 1 species
GAUCCGAAAUUGAAAACUAACUUAUAAAGAAACUAGAGAAUAUCAUGUUCAUGCCCACAUUCUGCAUACAGAACUCAGCUAAAAGUCAUUUGACAAACUUAGAUUAACUUAUUGCACUAAUACAGGCGAGACUCAAAGAAGAAACAAAUGAACCACAGAGGGAAAUCUAACACUAAUUACGGAAAUACUAAAGAAAACUAGCAUGGUCUAAUUCUCAAGCUACACAUCAGAUGACACCCAUAAAGAUCGAAAUGUACCUGGGAAAAGAGAAGAAACAAAGAAGAAAUGAGUGUUAGUAGCUCAGCAACAGCAGUAGCAGAAAAAAUAGCCUCAGAUUCACACGACCCAGUGUUAAAAUUAAACCGGAAACCCAAUGGAAGAGUAACCCCCAACCAGCUUGAAUCAAAACUUUCGACAACCCUUUUGUAUUUUUUCUGGAUUUUUGAUCUCUGAAUCUCUCUUCUCUCUUGAAAGGCAAGAAAUGAUGCCUUUAUAGGCAAGAAAGUAGGGCAGCCUCAACUUGCACUUUGCCCCCUUUUGAAUUUGUUUUUUCUUAAGAGUCCUUUAUUUAGUUUCAGAACUUCAAAUCAGUCCCCCUUCCCAGCUUCCUAGAAGCUUCCUUAUCAAUUACAAGAGAUUCCCCCACCUAAAUUACCUAUACUAACCCCUAGACCCUCUGUUUUUACUUUGGGAACCAAAUGGGUCAUGGGUCAAAUGACCCAAUGGUUAAACCAGGCCUGGGCUCAAAAAUCUAUUUGAAUUGCUUGGAACGUAUUCUGAAACGAAUUCAGAGCCCAAACAGCAAAAUGAAUCAAACCAAGAUGAGCAAAUUAUAGCCAGCAGUAAGGAAGUGACUGAACAAUUUCACCAAACUUAAAACCUAAACUAAAGGGCUAAAUUUAAACUAAAUGGUCGAACACACAAAGUGAACUCAGAAAUUAAUUAAGUUGUUGACAAACGAAUUAAAUAGACCAAGCAAGAAAAAUCAUGGAAGAAAACUUGGAAAAGAAAGAUUAAAACGGAACCAAACAGACAAUAAUCAAUCUUAGCUAACAACUUGUCCAAAUUUUAAUUUGUGUAACCGGAAAGAGAGAGAAGAAGAGAAGAAUAAAGGAAGCUAAGAAAACAAAAGAAUAAACAAAAGGAAGUAAAGAACCCACCGAUUCAGGCUCGUCCUCAGGACUGAUCUUCCGAUUUAAAUAUCCAAAUAACGUCAAUCGCUUGUCCUUUGUCAAGAACGAGAGAGUGACUCUAUUUCGUGAUAAAGUCGGCCCUAAAACUCAUGAGAAACAUAGAGCAUCAACCUUGCAUGAAUGAAUUCAGCUUUGAUUUCUAGGGCUCGAACCCUAUAUUCAAAAUUCGAAAAGUUUCAGCCAUAUUCGAGGGGAAUGGAGUAAGGAUUUGGGAAGAGGGGGGCUUGGUGGUCAUGGGGUGUAAUUUUGGUGGUGUUUGGAGGUGGAGUCGCCAGCCGGUGUGGUGGAAAAGGGGGUGGCGGGUUAGGGUUUGAGGGUGUUUCUGAAGAGGGAGUUGAAAGAGGCGAGAUGGGGGUG